rnacentral:rRNA from 1 species
UACGGAGGGUGCGAGCGUUGUCCGGAAUCAUUGGGCGUAAAGGGCGCGUAGGUGGCCCGCUCAGCGUGCGGUGAAAGCUCGGGGCUCAACCCCGAGUCGGCCGUGCGAACUGGUGGGCUGGAGCACUGUAGAGGCAGGCGGAAUUCCGGGUGUAGCGGUGGAAUGCGUAGAGAUCCGGAAGAACACCGGUGGCGAAGGCGGCCUGCUGGGCAGUGCUGGACACUGAGGCGCGACAGCGUGGGGAGCAAACAG